UACGGGGGGGGCAAGCGUUGUUCGGAAUUACUGGGCGUAAAGGGCUCGUAGGUGGCCAACUAAGUCAGACGUGAAAACCCCAGGCUCAACUUGGGAACUGCGUCUGAUACUGGAUGGCUUGAAUUCGGGAGAGGGAUGCAGAAUUCCAGGUGUAGCGGUGAAAUGCGUAGAUAUCAGGAGGAACACCGGUGGCGAAGGCGGCUUUCUGGACAGAUACCGACGCUGAGGCACGAAAGCUAGGGGAGCAAACAGG
rnacentral:rRNA from 1 species